ACCCUUGUGGCGUAGGGUAGCACUCGUCCCUGGUAUGGAUGAAGUGCGGGUUCGACUCCCGCCUGAGGUA